rfam:Felis catus isolate Cinnamon breed Abyssinian chromosome B4, whole genome shotgun sequence.
AGUUUGGCUUUUUUAGAAGCCACCUAUAAGUUAUAUCAUGCAGUAU